rnacentral:rRNA from 1 species
GACGAACGCUGGCGGCGUGCUUAACACAUGCAAGUCGAACGGAAAGGCCCUGCUUUUGUGGGGUGCUCGAGUGGCGAACGGGUGAGUAACACGUGAGUAACCUGCCCUUGACUUUGGGAUAACUUCAGGAAACUGGGGCUAAUACCGGAUAGGAGCUCCUGCUGCAUGGUGGGGGUUGGAAAGUUUCGGCGGUUGGGGAUGGACUCGCGGCUUAUCAGCUUGUUGGUGGGGUAGUGGCUUACCAAGGCUUUGACGGGUAGCCGGCCUGAGAGGGUGACCGGCCACAUUGGGACUGAGAGACGGCCAAGACUCCUACGGGAGGCAGCAGUGGGGAAUAUUGCACAAUGGGCGGAAGCCUGAUGCAGCAACGCCGCGUGCGGGAUGACGGCCUUCGGGUUGUAAACCGCUUUCGCCUGUGACGAAGCGUGAGUGACGGUAAUGGGUAAAGAAGCACCGGCUAACUACGUG